GACGAACGCUGGCGGCGUGCUUAACACAUGCAAGUCGAACGAAGUGGCGAACGUGUGAGUAACGCGUAAUCAACCUGCCCUUCAGAGGGGGAAAACAGUUGGAAACGACUGCUAAUACCACAUACUGCAGGAGGGGAUUGCGUUGGAUUAGCUAGUGGGAGGGGGAACGUCCCACCAAGGCGAUGAUCAGUAGCCGGUCUGAGAGGAUGAACGGCCACAUUGGGACUGAGACACGGCCCAGACUCCUACGGGAGGCAGCAGUGGGGAAUCUUCCGCAAUGGACGAAAGUCUGACGGAGCAACGCCGCGUGAGUGAUGACGGCCUUCGGGUUGUAAAGCUCUGUUAAUCGGGACGCGGUACCGGAAUAGAAAGCCACGGCUAACUACGUGCCAGCAGCCGCGGUAAUAC
rnacentral:rRNA from 1 species